rnacentral:rRNA from 1 species
UAAUAUAAGAAUUAAUUUUUUAUUUGUGUUGUAUAUUGUGUAAUAGAAGUAAUUUUAUUGAUUUUUGGUUUUAGUAUAAUUUAUAGAAUGAAUUUAUUUAUUUAUAGUUGAUUUUGUAUUGUGAAAGAAUGUUGAAAUAUUAUUGAAAUAAUUAGUUUUUUUAAAGUAAAUUUGGAUAUUGUACCUUGUGUAUCAGGGUUAAUUAAUUAAUUGUUAUUUAUAUAAUAAUCCCGAUUUAAAGAGAGUUAAUAUAUUAUAUUAGUUAUUGUAGUAUAAUUAUUAAUAAUAAUAUGUUGGUAAUGAAAUGUUAAUCGUUCUUUAAAAUAUCUGGUUUUCUGAGAAUUGAAUUUAAUUCAGUUAUUAAUUAGUAAAUAAUCUUAUUGGUUCUUUGAUAAUUAUUAAUUAAUAAUAAGAGUUUGGGGGAUAAGCUCUAAACUUUAUUUUAUAAAUAUGUAAUUGUAUUAAGUUAAGAAUAGGCUUUAAAGUAGUCUUUUAGAGUGUGUUAUAAUUCAUUUGUUAAUUAAUUAUGAUUUUAUAAGAAUUUUAAAUUAUAUAUCGGAGUAGUUUUAUUAAUAUUAAUUAAAAUGAAAUGAUGAUUAAAUUAGUAUAAUAAAUUGAUGAAAUUAUUUAAAUUAUGUUAAUUUAUAAUAAGGAAUUAGGCAAAAUAAUACUCGCCUGUUUAACAAAAACAUGUCUUUUUGAUUUGAAAUUGUGAAGUCUGGCCUGCCCACUGAUUAAAUUUGAAGGGCCGCGGUAUUUUGACCGUGCAAAGGUAGCAUAAUCAUUAGUCUUUUAAUUGAAGGCUGGUAUGAAUGGUUUAACGAAGUAUUAACUGUCUCAUUAUAAUUUUUUGAAUUUAACUUUUCAGUUAAAAGGCUGAAAUAAAGUUAGAGGACGAGAAGACCCUAUAGAGCUUUAUAAUUAUAUUAAUUAGUUAUUUUUGGUUGUUUAGUUUAAUUUAAUAAUAUAAUUAUUUGGUUGGGGUGACUUGAAGAUUUAAUAAACUCUUUAUUUAUAAAAACAUAGAUUUAUGGAAAAUUGAUCCAUUAUUGAUGAUUAAAAGAUUAAGUUACCUUAGGGAUAACAGCGUAAUUUUCUUUGAGAGUUCUUAUCAACAAGAAAGAUUGCGACCUCGAUGUUGGACUAAGGAAUAUUAUUGGGUGUAGAAGUUCAAUAAAUAGGUCUGUUCGACCUUUAAAUCCUUACAUGAUCUGAGUUCAGACCGGCGUAAGCCAGGUCGGUUUCUAUCCUUAAUGAAUAUAAUAUAUUUUAGUACGAAAGGACCAAAUAUUUAAAAUAUUUUUAUUGAAUAUUGAAUAUUAUUAAUGUUAUUU